GCCACUGCUAUUGGGGUUCGGCUAAGCCAUGCGCGUGGAGGGCGUCCCGCAAGGGAUGGCCCCGCAGACGGCACAGUAACACGUCGUCAACCCACCUUAGGGUGGGGGACAACCUCGGGAAACUGAGGAUAAUCCCCCAUAGGCGGGGGAGGCUGGAAUGCGCCCCCGCUGAAAGCUCAGGCGCCCUAGGACGGGACGGCGGCCUAUCAGGUAGUUGGUGGUGUGACG
rnacentral:rRNA from 1 species